rnacentral:tRNA from 1 species
GUAGGUGUAGCUGAGUAGUAGGGCUCUUGCCUGGUAUAUGCAAGGUCCUGGGUUUGAUUCCCAGCACCCACC